rnacentral:tRNA from 1 species
GCCCCAAUAGCUCAGCUGGUAGAGCAUUUCAUUCGUAAUGAAGAGGUCGGCGGUUCAAAUCCGUCUUGGGGCA